rnacentral:rRNA from 1 species
CCUACGGGUGGCAGCAGUGAGGAAUAUUGGUCAAUGGGCGAGAGCCUGAACCAGCCAAGUCGCGUGAAGGAUGACUGUCUUAUGGAUUGUAAACUUCUUUUGUAGGGGAAUAAAGAACGGUACGUGUACCGUAGUGAAUGUACCCUACGAAUAAGCAUCGGCUAACUCCGUGCCAGCAGCCGCGGUAAUACGGAGGAUGCGAGCGUUAUCCGGAUUUAUUGGGUUUAAAGGGUGCGUAGGCGGCCUGUUAAGUCAGCGGUGAAAUCUAGGAGCUUAACUCCUAAAUUGCCAUUGAUACUGGCGGGCUUGAGUGUAGAUGAGGUAGGCGGAAUGCGUGGUGUAGCGGUGGAAUGCAUAGAUAUCACGCAGAACUCCGAUUGCGAAGGCAGCUUACUAAGGUACAACUGACGCUGAAGCACGAAAGCGUGGGUAUCAAACAGGAUUAGAUACCCUUGUAGUC